UUUAAGUAUAAUCGUGUGUGACCGUCCGUCUUAUUUAAUUUUUUUUAUAAUUAGUAUUUUUAUUGUUAUUAAAUGAUAAAACAUGAACAACACUUUAUAUGUGACUUAUUUUUUAAAAAAAUUCAGAUAAAACGGACAUUUAAUCGUUGGACAAAAAAACAUACAUCUGCACUUAAA
rnacentral:pre_miRNA from 1 species